GCAGAGAUGCUUUGGUGCCUUCGGGAACUCUGAGACAGGUGCUGCAUGGCUGUCGUCAGCUCGUGUUGUGAAAUGUUGGGUUAAGUCCCGCAACGAGCGCAACCCUUAUCCUUUGUUGCCAGCGGUUCGGCCGGGAACUCAAAGGAGACUGCCAGUGAUAAACUGGAGGAAGGUGGGGAUGACGUCAAGUCAUCAUGGCCCUUACGAGUAGGGCUACACACGUGCUACAAUGGCAUAUACAAAGAGAAGCGACCUCGCGAGAGCAAGCGGACCUCAUAAAGUAUGUCGUAGUCCGGAUUGGAGUCUGCAACUCGACUCCAUGAAGUCGGAAUCGCUAGUAAUCGUAGAUCAGAAUGCUACGGUGAAUACGUUCCCGGGCCUUGUACACACCGCCCGUCACACCAUGGGAGUGGGUUGCAAAAGAAGUAGGUAGCUUAACCUUCGGGAGGGCGCUUACCACUUUGUGAUUCAUGACUGGGGUGAAGUCGUAACAAGGUAACCGUAGGGGAACCUGCGGUUGGAUCACCUCCUUACCUAAAGA
rnacentral:rRNA from 1 species